AUUGAACGCUGGCGGCAUGCUUUACACAUGCAAGUCGAACGGUAACAGGCCUUCGGGUGCUGACGAGUGGCGAACGGGUGAGUAAUGCAUCGGAACGUGCCCAGAGGUGGGGGAUAACGCAGCGAAAGCUGUGCUAAUACCGCAUGUGAUCUGAGGAUGAAAGCGGGGGACCAGGCAGCAAUGUUUGGCCUCGCGCCUUUGGAGCGGCCGAUGUCAGAUUAGGUAGUUGGUGGGGUAAAGGCCUACCAAGCCGACGAUCUGUAGCUGGUCUGAGAGGACGACCAGCCACACUGGGACUGAGACACGGCCCAGACUCCUACGGGAGUCAGCAGUGGGGAAUUUUGGACAAUGGGCGCAAGCCUGAUCCAGCAAUGCCGCGUGCGGGAAGAAGGCCUUCGGGUUGUAAACCGCUUUUGUACGGAACGAAAAGGCUCUGGCUAAUACCUGGGGCUGAUGACGGUACCGUAAGAAUAAGCACCGGCUAACUACGUG
rnacentral:rRNA from 1 species